rnacentral:rRNA from 1 species
CCUACGGGUGGCAGCAGUGAGGAAUAUUGGUCCAUGGGCGCGAGCCUGCACCCGCCAAGUCGCGUGAAGGAUGACUGCCCUACGGGUUGUAAACUUCUUUUAUCAAGGAAUAAAGUGCGGCACGUGUGCCUUUUUGUCUGUACUUUAUGAUUCAGGAUCGGCUAACUCCGUGCCAGCAGCCGCGGUAAUACGGAGGAUCCGAGCGUUAUCCGGAUUUAUUGGGUUUAAAGGGAGCGUAGAUGGGUUGUUAAGUCAGUUGUGAAAGUUUGUGGCUCAACCGUAAAAGUGCAAUUGAUACUGGCAGUCUUGAGUACAGUUGAGGUAGGCGGAAUUCGUGGUGUAGCGGUGAAAUGCUUAGAUAUCACGAAGAACUCCGAUUGCGAAGGCAGCUUACUAAACUGCCACUGACAUUGAUGCUCGAAAGUGUGGGGAGCAAACAGGAUUAGAUACCCCUGUAGUC